UACGUAGGGAGCAAGCGUUGUCCGGAUUUAUUGGGCGUAAAGAGCUCGUAGGCGGCUUAGAAAGUCAGAUGUGAAAACUCCAGGCUCAACCUGGAGACGCCAUUUGAUACUUCUAUGGCUUGAGUUCGGUAGGGGACCAUGGAAUUCCUGGUGUAGCGGUGAAAUGCGCAGAUAUCAGGAGGAACACCGAUGGCGAAGGCAGUGGUCUGGGCCGAUACUGACGCUGAGGAGCGAAAGCGUGGGGAGCGAACAGG
rnacentral:rRNA from 1 species